ensembl:lncRNA
UAAAGGUGAAAUAAAUAAAAUAAAUAAAAAUUGAGAUAGAAUGUUUCAUAUUAGGUUACAAUACAGAAUGUCACCUUUUAUUUAAAACUAUUCAUACAUAUAUAUUUUACCGUUUAGUCUUAAUUGUACAAACUAAUUUAGUCAAAAGUUGAGUGUUUGGUCCCAUAUUCCAUUCCUGCAGUGAUUACAUCACACUUGUGUGAUUUACAUCACAAGCUUGUGAUUCUACUAACUUGUUGAAUUAAUUUGCAGUUUGUCUUGGUUGUGUUUUAGAUUAUAUUUUUCCUAAUAGAAACUGAAUGGUGAAUAAUGUCCUAUCAUUUUGGAGUCACUUCAUUUGUAUUGUCAGUAAGAAUAGAAGAUGUUUCUGAACACUUCUACAUUCAUGUGGAUGCUACCAUGAUUAUGAAUAAUAAUGAAUGAAUCAAGAAUGAUGAUGAAUGAGAAAGUUACAGAGGCACAAAGAUCAGACCCCCUCUGUUAUUGGUAAUGGUGAGAGGUUAGCAUGUUUUGUUGUAGUCUCUGUUAUUGGUAAUGGUGAGAGGUUAGCAUGUUUUGUUGUAGCCUCUGUUAUUGGUAAUGGUGAGAGGUUAGCAUGUUUUGUUGUAGUCUCUGUAACUUUCUCAUUCAUUAUUAUUCAUGAUUGAUUUAUGAUUUGUAUUAAUUCUGACAUCAUCAAUAUUAAUUUAUGAUUGUUUAGAAACAUGUUAUCUACUCUAGAGCUUUCGGCGCCGGCGCCGACAGAGAUGGCCGCCUCGCUUCGCGUUCCUAGGAAACUAUGCAGUUUUUUGUUUUCUUACGUGUUAUUUCUUACACUAGUACCCCAGGUCAUCUUAGGUUUCAUUACAUACAGCCGAGAAGAACUACUGAAUAUAAGAUCAGCGUCAACUCACCAUCAGUACGACCAAGAAUAUGUUUUUC